AUGUCAUUAGAAACCCAUGCUGUCCUCCAGAGUUGCAAAAGCCUGUCAUGGGAAAAUUCUGUAGUCAUAGAAGGAUGUUCCCCUCCUUUGAGAGUCUGGUUUGCUAUUGUUAGAGGAGAGAAGAGGAUUCAGAAGGCUGCCAAACCUGUAUGUUGCUGGUUUUAUCUCCUCUGGAGAUUGGUGUGACGUUCAUGAAGGGGACUCAGCCACCUGUGCAAAGCCCAGCCCUUUAAGUCACUGGGCAUCUCGUGGAAUCAGGGCAUGAAUUACUGAUCAAUGACUGGGAGGAGGGUGCUUAGGCACUGCAGUUGAGUGGCUCACAAGGAGCGAACAUUUCACUAAUGCAUAUUCAGUGGGUGGUUCUGGUUUGCCUGAUUUUUGCCUCUGGGCAUGGUUGUUUCAGCCUGAGAGGCUGUUCCAAGAAUGUUUCUUUACUAGAGAGCUCAUGCCGCCUGGUGGUAAAUAUGAAGUACAGCAGUGCAACAGACCAGUUUUACUCCAAGGAAACCCUGUAGAGAUGACAGCAAUGGUUGGUGAUUUCUGCCUCAAUUAUGAAAGUGAUCUGAUGGGCCAGAGAAGACUAGGGGAGUUCGGGUUUUCUAGACCAAACAGACACUCAGUCCUGGGCCUGGAGGUCUCUGCAGUGAGGUGCUGCCACAGACAGAGCCACCUUCACUCCUCAGGACAACCAGUGGCUGCCGACACACACUAUGCACUGGAGGGCAAGCAGCUCCCAGCUUGGGAGCAACUGAGGAUGGUG
rnacentral:antisense_RNA from 1 species